GGCCUCGUGGCCUAGAAGUAAGGCGUUGGUUUCCGGUUAAGGAUUCGCCAAAGAUCGCGAGUGCAAAUCUCGCCGUGGUCG
rfam:Schizosaccharomyces cryophilus OY26 unplaced genomic scaffold supercont4.2, whole genome shotgun sequence.